CACCAGGCUCCCAGUGUCCUAGUGAAUGAACUAUGGAGAGGAUGGAGGGAUACUUUCAGGAUUCUGGUGUCACACAUUCUAUAUGAAAAGUGGUUGUAUAUUGCACUCCACUUUACAAAUGAAAUAAAACACUGGAAGAAGACAUACAUAAGAGAAAAAGCAUUGCUCUCAGCUUUUACGCUGCUUCCUACUUUAUUUGGGACUCUGUCCUCUACCCAGACAUCGGUCAUUUGAGAUCCGUGCCAGGGAGAGAAGAAUAUCCUUUUGGUCUGUGGAAGCUUGAAGAAUAGAGUGGAGCUUGCUGUGGGGGCGCAGCAGAAUAAUGUAGCAAGUUGAAAUUAAAUAAUUGAAGUUUCUGGAACUUGAACUUCUGGACGUGUGGAUGCCAUAUUUUAUUUUGAAUAAAACAACAAAGAUAUUUGGCUGCUCUGGGGGAGAAUCUGCUGUUUCCAGGCUCAUCUGGGUUCUUAGAAUUCAGUUCCAAGCAGUCACCAUUUCAUUGCCGGCAUUUGUCUAAGAGCCCUCUGCAGUUUCUGGAGGCUGCUCAGAUGACCUUCAGCUUCAAAACCAGCACAGAUGUCUACUAUGUUUUACAAUCCAAAAAAUCAGCCAGAACACGAUGUGCUACUUUGUCAUGAUAUCUCCAUGGGAUUCUAGUUCUUUCAGCUGUACCUACCCAACAUGCCUCUUUAUGGUGAAUGUCACCUCACAGCUGAAGCAAGUUUAUGGGGCACUGCAGUUCCCCGGGCGUUCUUUGUUCAGUGGAGAACCAGAGAACUUCAGUCUCGGGGACUGUGAAUCCACCAGCUUUCAUCAGUCUGAAAUGCAUUUUAAAUCAGUGUCAGACUGGCUGCAAAAUUUAUGUCGCCAACUUCAUAGUAACUCCAGCUGUCCCACAGUCCUAAUAACACCCAGUGCUCCAGGGUGUCUACUGAAGACGUAAUGCAACAAUGGAGUGUGAAAUAUGCUGGAAUCUAGAAGGAUCACUGGCUGAAUGUGAGCCUUGCAAUGUCCGCCACACGCAAGGACUAACUUCUGAAAAUAAAGUACU